AAAGAGCCCCCCAGUUUCUGGCUGGGUUUUUCUCUCUCAACACUCUACAAAACUUCUCUCUCUCUCUCUCUCUCUCUCUCUCUCUCUCUCUCUCAGAUUAAGUCCUCGUAGUAUCUAAUUACCUCCAACAGGAAAAAGGAGAAAAAGAAAAAAAGAAAAGAAAAUCCUCGUGGGUCUUUGAUCGUCACUUUGAUUAGAGAAGACAUGGCGCUGAAUCUCCGGCAAAAGCAAACCGACUGCAUUCUCCGCAUGCUGAAUCUGAACCAACCGCUGAAUCCCGGAGCCGGCGCCGGCGACGACGAGGAGGUCUACAAGAUCCUGAUCUACGAUCGCUUCUGCCAAGACAUCCUUUCUCCCCUCAUCCACGUCAAGGACCUCCGCAAGCACGGCGUUACCCUUUACUUCCUCAUCGACAAGGACCGCAAGCCCGUCCUCGACGUCCCUGCCCUCUACUUCGUCCAGCCCACUCCCCACAACAUCCGCCGCAUCGUCCUCGACGCCUCCAAUUCCCUCUACGAUUCCUUCCAUCUCAACUUCUCCUCCUCCAUUCCCAGGCCCUUGCUCGAAGAUCUAGCCUCCGGUACCCUCAACUCCGACUCCAUCCACCGCAUCUCCAAAGUCCACGAUCACUACUUGGAGUUUGUCACCUUGGAAGAUAACUUGUUUUCCCUCGCCCACAAGGCUUGCUACCUUCAGCUCAAUGAUCCCUCAGCCGGGGACAAGGACAUUGAGGACAUCGUUGACAGAAUCGUCGCCGGCCUCUUCUCCGUCCUGGCUACUCUUUCCGUUGUUCCCGUGAUUAGGUGCCCCCGCGGCGGCCCUGCCGAGAUGGUGGCCUCCCGCCUGGAUCAGCGUUUGCAGGACCAUCUCUUGGCCAAGAACAAUCUCUUUACCGAGGGCGGAAACUUCGCCAGCUCCUUCCAGAGGCCCGUCUUGUGCAUUUUCGAUCGGAAUUUUGAGCUGUCGGUGGCCAUUCAGCACGACUUUAGGUAUAGGCCGUUGGUCCACGAUGUGCUCGGAUUGAGACUGAAUAAGCUGAAUGUGCAGGGCGAGAAGGGCGGGAUGAAAUCCUACGAGCUGGAUGGGUCUGAUCCCUUCUGGGUUGCAAACGGAGCGUUGGAGUUCCCGGAUGUGGCUGUUGAGAUUGAGACUCAGUUGAACAAGUACAAGAAGGAUGUGGAGGAAGUCAACAGGAAGACUGGUGGAGGCGGUGAUGUGGACUUCGAUGGUAACACUAAGCAUCUGAUGAAUGCGGUCAAUUCUCUUCCGGAGCUGACUGAACGGAAGAACGUGAUUGACAAGCACACUAAUAUUGCUACUGCGCUGUUGGGUGAGAUCAAGGAGAGGUCUCUUGAUUCCUAUGCCAAGAAAGAGAGUGACAUGAUGGUGAGGGGUGGAAUUGAUCGAAAUGAGCUCGUAGGAGUGCUCAAGGGAAAGGGGUCCAAGUCGGAUAAGCUGCGCUUUGCUAUCAUGUGUCUUAUUUCUACUGAAAACAUCCCGCAGUCAGAGAUUGAAAUGGUCGAAUCGGCAUUGAGGGAGUCUGAGGUGGAUACUAGCGCAUUCCAGUAUGUCAAGAGGAUAAAGUCGUUAAAUGUUUCGUUGUCAUCAGCAAGUGCCGCUAGCAGGAGCAACAUUGUUGAUUGGGCUGAGAGACUCUACGGGCAGUCAAUUAGCGCUGUCACUGCUGGUGUGAAGAAUCUGUUGUCUAGUGAUCAUCAGUUAGCCUUGACAAGAACGGUGGAAGCGCUAAUGGAGGGAAAACCAAAUCCUGAAGUUGAAUCCUAUCUUGCUUUUGAUCCCCGUGCUCCAAAAUCGAGCUCUGGAGCGAGCAGCAGUCACCUGAAAGGACCAUUUAAAGAAGCUAUUGUGUUUAUGAUUGGUGGUGGAAACUAUGUGGAGUACGGAAGUCUGCUGGAGCUGGCUCACCGGCAGCAGCCUGUAAGACAUGUUAUCUACGGCACAACAGAGAUUCUCACUGGUGGAGAGUUUGUGGAGCAGCUAGCGUCGCUGGGACAUAAGAUGGGAUUAGGAAGUAGUGCUGCUGCUGCUGCUCCCCCAGCCCAUUGAGAGUUGAUUAUGGAUGCUGCAAGGAACAUAUGAUAUUUGUACAUUUGGGACUGCUGUUGGGAGCGGCACUGAUUGGAGAGGAGUUCAACGUCAUUACUUGCACUUUUCUUGAAUAGGAAGACGAUGACUACAUAUUUGUGGGACAUAAGAGGGGACCGGUUGGAUGCUUGAUGAAGUAGGCAGCUGUAGAUUGUCUGAUUAUGCUCCUAUGUUCUUGUCAUUCUUCAUCGAUGAUGCUCGAGGUAUUUGUAAGUUUGACAGAGAAUUUUGUUUGGUUAUUUGCAUCGCAAUUUAGAGGAUAGAAAAAUGCAGUUUAGACAUGAAACGGAGGAGGACGGGAUUGGUGUCUUUUUAUGUGUACAAGUUUGACAUCAGUGAUGGCUAAAUUUGAGAUGUAUGCAUUCCUAUUAUCAAAAAAAAAAAAAAAAAAAUUAGGAAUGCAUUCCUAUACGUAAGGUGCUGGAGAUAAUCAGUAGUGUAUGUGUUUCUUGUUUAUAUGGAUUUUGUUUCUGCAGAGUAUUGAAGUAGUAGUAUUAAACA